rnacentral:rRNA from 1 species
AUUGAACGCUGGCGGCAGGCCUAACACAUGCAAGUCGAGCGGAUGAAGGGAGCUUGCUCCUGGAUUCAGCGGCGGACGGGUGAGUAAUGCCUAGGAAUCUGCCUGGUAGUGGGGGAUAACGUCCGGAAACGGGCGCUAAUACCGCAUACGUCCUGAGGGAGAAAGUGGGGGAUCUUCGGACCUCACGCUAUCAGAUGAUCCUAGGUCGGAUUAGCUAGUUGGUGGGGUAAAGGCCUACCAAGGCGACGAUCCGUAACUGGUCUGAGAGGAUGAUCAGUCACACUGGAACUGAGACACGGUCCAGAAUCCUACGGGAGGCAGCAGUGGGGAAUAUUGGACAAUGGGCGAAAGCCUGAUCCAGCCAUGCCGCGUGUGUGAAGAAGGUCUUCGGAUUGUAAAGCACUUUAAGUUGGGAGGAAGGGCAGUAAGUUAAUACCUUGCUGUUUUGACGUUACCAACAGAAUGAGAACCGGCUAACUUCGUG